GAACGCUGGCGGCAGGCCUAACACAUGCAAGUCGAGCGAGAUCUUCGGGUCUAGCGGCGGACGGGUGAGUAACGCGUGGGAAUAUGCCUCUUGGUACGGAAUAGCCUCGGGAAACUGGGAGUAAUACCGUAUGUGCCCUUUGGGGGAAAGAUUUAUCGCCAAGAGAUUAGCCCGCGUUGGAUUAGGUAGUUGGUGGGGUAAUGGCCUACCAAGCCGACGAUCCAUAGCUGGUUUGAGAGGAUGAUCAGCCACACUGGGACUGAGACACGGCCCAGACUCCUACGGGAGGCAGCAGUGGGGAAUCUUAGACAAUGGGGGCAACCCUGAUCUAGCCAUGCCGCGUGAGUGAUGAAGGCCUUAGGGUUGUAAAGCUCUUUCAGCUGGGAAGAUAAUGACGGUACCAGCAGAAGAAGCCCCGGCUAACUCCGUG
rnacentral:rRNA from 1 species